AAGGUAGCGAAGCUGUUAAGCAAACAGCAGGGCAGACCCGUCCUGAGACCCAUCAAACCUCUGGCGCUGAAGAAUGAGGUCGCCAAUCGAAGACUGCGGAAAGGAGAGAUGUCAUUGGUGAUGGCUUGCUGGAAACAGAAUGACUUUAACAACACAGUCUGCUCUAAAGAAGUGUCAGCUUUCUACACAUGUGUGGAAAAGACCCAGGCCCAGAACAAGGC